rnacentral:lncRNA from 1 species
GUAAAGACAUAAAAAAGGCUAAAAAAAUUUCCUUCUUUAAUCGGAUGUCAUUGACAGGUCAGAAACUGAUGCAGAGUGCUAAUGAUCCACUCCCAGAGAUAAAGCCAAUAGGAGACCAAAUAGCCUUACAAAGUGAUAAGAAAGAUGCCAACCAGAACCACAUGGGUCAGAAUCUUCAGGAUACUGCAACACCAAAUAUGGAGGGAAAGUCCAAAUCCUGUACAAUUCUAUAAAUGUAUGUUUAUGUUUCCAUGGUCACCGAGCACAUUUAUUCUUCAUACUUGAAAAAUGUUGUGACUUCUGAAGGAAAUUCCCCCAUAACACUGUUUAAAAAGAUAUUAAUUAGUAAGUUUGGCUUGGUUUGGACAAUAUGAACAGAUUUAAUAUUUAUUUAUGUUAAUAUUCUUAUCAAGCAGUUUCCAAAGUACAUGUACCUCCAACUCUCCUUGAAGUGUUCUGGCCUUAACUGCUCAGUGUUGCAUAAAGCAAUAUAUUUUUAUAUUUGGAAACCAAAUGAAGCUAUUUCAUAGUUUUGCCAACAUAGUUAUUGUACUUUGUAAUUUCCUAAGACAAUGUUCAUACUAUUACAACACUGGAACAGUUUUGGAUAAAUUUACAACAUUUUAAAACAGGCAACAUUGUAAUGAACUUAUUUUAAUAAAUUAUAUCUGGUUGGUUCUGCUGUAAA